GCCAUUGCUCAGUGGCAGAGUGUCUGCCUUGAGUGCAGAAGGUCGGUCAGAUUCAAUCCCUGGCAGCUCCA